rnacentral:rRNA from 1 species
AAGCCCAUAGUUGAAUUUCGGGGUUAGUAGGUUGGUCAUGCCUCUGGUAUGUACUGGUCUCACUGAUUCCUCCUUCCUGAUGAGCCGUAAUGCCAUUAAUUUGGUGUUGCGGGGAAUUUGGACUGUUACUUUGAAAAAAUUAGAGUGUUUAAAGCAAGCUAACGCUUGAAUACAUUAGCAUGGAAUAAUGAAAUAGGACGUUCGAUCCUAUUUUGUUGGUUUCUAGGAUUGACGUA